GGUCUUGACACCUUUCGGCCGCCGUAGGCGGAGAUUGAGGCGGGUGGCUCCCGGUCGUUUACCUGGGUACACCAAGGCCCGCGUGGUCGUGGGCCUGAGGAGCCGAGCGGGCAUAGGCCUGGUCAUUCGUUCGUCCAUUCAGUCAUUCAUUCCUUGAGGAGUGUUGACGGAGCUUCAGACGUGAAUGAAAUUUGUAUCCAUCUGUCUUGUUCCUGGAACCAAACUAGUUGGGGAUAGAAGAAAGUGGAUUUCCUAAUCCACUUCCAAGAAGCAUCUCUUCUUAAGACUUUCUAAUCGGAAGAAAGUUCAGUUCACAAUCAGCUUGCAUGAGUAAUAAUCCGUUGUUUUGCUACCACCCCUCUGAGACUGGAUCCAGGGCACACCGGACUUCCUCUUCCGAAUCGCUGGAAAACACAGCUUCUGCCCCAGCUGGGUCAACGUGCAUGCAGCUUGGGACAAUCAAGUCAAAUCAUCAAAAAUGAAAGAAAACUCUUCAAAAAACCAUUUAAAUAUGGCAGGACAAAAUUAUUGAUGUGAAAAGGAAGUCUUC
rnacentral:lncRNA from 1 species